rnacentral:lncRNA from 1 species
UACAUUUUUAAUUCUACCAACCCCCAACACUUAUCCCAUUUCUCUCAGACAACCUCCUUCAAACUCUCCUCCUCUCAAGUGCUCUCAAUCCCUCGAAACCCUAAUCAUCUCCCUCGUCUUCUCUGAUCAAUCUUCAGCAGAGUCCAUGGCUUCUCAGGCCAUGGACAACCUGUGCUCACCUGCUUUAACCUCCAGACCCUGGUUGUUCAAGGUUUUGAGGUCCGACCUCAAUGAUGCCUGUUCAGAUCCUCCGCUGAUCUGUGCUCCUAUGGCCUCUCCGGCUCUGUUCCGACGUGUUUAAGUCCUAGCUACAGCUCAGAUAUGUUCGAGACCAGACCUUUUCCAAGCCUUCUCCUUUCUAGGAUUUCUAUGAAACCCUAAUGCUAUUUUGAGGUUCCUUCUUCUCUUAUUUGCUUAGAUUUGUGAUGAAUCUGUGUUGUAUUCAACGUUUUGAAGCUUUUCCCUAACUUUUAUUUUUCAAAUUUACCCUUUUUCAAUUUAGGGUUUUCUAAAAAUCUUAAAACGAUUUCUGUCUCUUCUUCGUCUUCUUUUCUUUGUGUGAAUCUAUCUGUAUAUGUCAUGUUCUUAUGAAUUUUUCGCAUGUGUUCUUAUGUUCUUUCCUCGCAUGUUCUUCUCAUGUGCUUUUGUGUUUGCCUUAUUAUGCAUGUUCUCCAUUCUUUCUUCUACUAGUUUAUAUAGCAUGCUUUCAGAUGUUUUUCUUAUAUGUUCAUUUACCCAUGUGUUCAUUUAUUGUAUUCUUCUACUAAGCGUCAGUUCCUUAUCUGCCUUCUUCUAAACUUGUUUCAAUUCCAAGUUUCUUAAAAUGUGUUCUUACUACUCUUACUAUGUUUCAAAUUAGUUCUAUUCGCCUUGAACCUGCUAAUUUUUGUUUUCUCAUGAGUCUCUGAGCCUGUUUCAAUUAUUUGCUUUUCUUCUCUGUAUCUUACUCAAGUCGAAAACCCUAAGAUUUGGCGCGGUUAUUGACAAGUUUGGAUCUUGUGUUUGGAACUAGGGUUCAUAUUUUUGAACUCUAGGUUUCUCAGAAUUGUUUUAUUUUUUGUACUCUUCUUUGACUCUGAACUUUUCUAUGCUGGGCUUUUCUAAUUAGCGUGAAAAUUACUUUUUAUUUGACAUGCUUGUGUGUUUUAUAUAUGAGGAAUUUUUUUAUCAAAAAAAGGCUUCCAACUCAUGAUUAGAUUCAGAAUCUCUUUGGGUUCUAAUUGAUUGUCAUUGAUUUUCUUCAAGUAAACCCUCUCCUCACUUUUCCUGACUUGGUUCAUUCAAACAAAGCCUGCAAUUUUGAUUUUUUUGAUUGAUUCUAUUUUCUUAUUCUUAAAAAUCGUGUGUUUCAAAAACUUUUCCUUAAAUAACAUUAUGUAUUCACCCUUAUUUGUAUACUAUGCACAUGUUGUUUACUUGAUCCCCUUUCCUUAAAUAUUUUCUUCCUUUACUGAUCAAAUUAGGAUUCCUUAAUUAAAGGGAUCUCUGUUAGUUGAUUGAUCUAAAUUGAUACUCGACUAAUUUUCUUUCCUUGUUUGCAUGUCUGAUUUCGAGUAUAAAUAAAUGCUUUUCUUUUCACUUGACACAUCAAAUUCUAACUGCCAACCAAAGUCAGAAUUCAUCUCUCUUCUUUACUACUACUAUUACAACUCUCUAUUUCUCUUCUUCUCUACACUCUCUAUUGAGCAUUCUGCACUUUUUGCUGUUUGAACUCCUAGACACUUGGGAGUUUCUUGAGUUUGUUCCUAUUUAUUUCUGGCUGUUCGUUUGUUGCUGUUCGUCUGCUAUCCUAGAAUUAUAACUGGUGUGCUCUGUUAAGCUCCAUAGCAUCCUUAUUUAAUUUCUCUGCUUCUACCCCUUUCUUUGUGUGAUCAUUUAUGCAUUUCUUGCACUAUUUAAUUACUUAGUCCAUUUCCCCUAUUCUUGUUGUAUGCGAGUUUGUCCUGGGUAAUAUCAGCGAUAUGAAUUGUUGUACGUGAUUCAGCACUUGACUCUUUUGAGUCUCUCGCUGGUUUUCCCAUUCCCUUUCCCCUCAAUGUGCUGAGCUCUAAUUUGGGUCUGUUGAUGUCUUGAUCAUCAUUCAGACCUGAGAGUCUGCUCUUAGUUAUUUGAAUCUGAAUGGAUGGUUAGGGGUGUGCCAGUCUAGGCCACACCUCUUGCUGAGGUUUCUCUUUCACUUUGCACCUACUCCUAGCUCUUAAGUUCUACCCCCUAUGGUAAGCCAUGCUUAGGUACCCUAGAGUUCCCUCUGAACUUGGAUGCUUAAGGGAUGGUAAUUCCACACAUUCCACUACUCUGUUACAACAUUCAAUCUUUAGAGUGUAAGCAUUGCCUGGGCUCUUGAAGCCCCUUGGAACUUUGAAACACUCUAAGAGAAGGCCUUGGAAUCUGGAAUCUGGAUUUGGUGAAACAUAUGUAAUGGAUAUCAAGAUUGCAUUAGACAUUUGGAUCUAGCUGAGGGCUAUGAUGUAUUUUAUUUUUACUUUUGGCUCUGUAACAAUAACUUUGUAAUAAAACUUGGGGAAUAUAAUAGUAAAGGGUGUGGG